rfam:Arabis alpina cultivar Pajares Aa.chr7_contig_2050, whole genome shotgun sequence.
ACUCCAUGGUGAAGACAAUAUCUAGUGUAACCCUUCAAUCUUUCCCAAGCUUCAUAGAGAGCUUUACUGGGGCCUUGUUUGAAGCUUGUGAUAUCAUUCCUAAUUU